GACGAACGCUGGCGGCGUGCUUAACACAUGCAAGUCGAACGGAAAGGCCCCUUCGGGGGUACUCGAGUGGCGAACGGGUGAGUAACACGUGGGCGAUCUGCCCUGCACUUCGGGAUAAGCCUGGGAAACUGGGUCUAAUACCGGAUAGGACCUUUAGACGCAUGUCUUUUGGUGGAAAGCUUUUGCGGUGUGGGAUGGGCCCGCGGCCUAUCAGCUUGUUGGUGGGGUGAUGGCCUACCAAGGCGACGACGGGUAGCCGGCCUGAGAGGGUGUCCGGCCACACUGGGACUGAGAUACGGCCCAGACUCCUACGGGAGGCAGCAGUGGGGAAUAUUGCACAAUGGGCGCAAGCCUGAUGCAGCGACGCCGCGUGGGGGAUGACGGCCUUCGGGUUGUAAACCUCUUUCACCAUCGACGAAGGUUCGGGUUUUCUCGGACUGACGGUAGGUGGAGAAGAAGCACCGGCCAACUACGUGCCAGCAGCCGCCGCGG
rnacentral:rRNA from 1 species